ensembl:lncRNA
AAUCUCUGGUUGGAAAUUCCUUCUUUGUGGGUUCUUUCUUGCGAACCUAGAAUUUCAGAGACAGAAGUUGCAAGAAGAGGGAAGUGUGACCAGAGAGUUCUGUUUCUUCACACUAACCACGGACAAGAGCCUGCAAGUGGGGCAGACCUCCAGCUGUGGUGUGACUGUCACCUUUUCCCUGCAGCCAAGUAGCCUAAAUAACCAAGCUGUAUUCAUACUUUACUGUAGAUAUCUGUUUGAAAACUUGAUGUGUGCAUACACAGUGCUCCCUCACCUCUAAGAGGCAUGUUAUUGAGAUAAACUACUAAAUAUACAUAUAUUUUAUGGGUUGGAAACAAUCACAGAUACAAGGUAAGGUGAAGGUGGAGUGUGCAGUGGAAGAAACAGAAGAGUUUUGCAUAGCUUAGUUUUAGCUUGAGGAAUCUACUUUCCUACUCUCCUCUGUUGAUGAUAGUGAUGGCAGACGCUUCUUUCAGAACAAGUAUUCUGCAUUUUAACUACAUUGAAGAGGAUCCUAUCUCUCUAUUCAUUGAAUAUAUAGGAAAAAAAAAACAAGCCCAUUAAUCUCCUUAGAUUAUAGCAGGACAUUGCAAAUAAUAUUGAGCUGCACCUUUGAUUUUGGGAAACUUACUGUUCUGUGAUACGAAACCAUACAAAACAGACUGCUUACCUCUUUAGGGAGCUUUAGAAGUUUCUGAAGCUGAUUGUUAGGUUAUAAUAUAAUUUGUACAGGAAAAGUGAAGGAAAUAAUAACAUACUUUUUUUGUUCUCUAGUGGCUGGAAAAUGCUGUCUUUGUGUUAUAUAGACAUGUUUUUUUUUGAGUAAUGACUAAGUGCCUGUAACCUAAGUAUUCUUAUAUUUGUCUACAAAUUAAAAUCAAUAUUAUGUGAAAUCAUUUUCCUUGUAUGCUUGCACUAGGAUUAUGCUUGUAUUUGUGCCCGUGAAUCAAAAUUAGCAUUAAAUCAUUUUACCUGUAUGUUUGGGUUAAGGUUGCUCUGACUCAUCUGUCUCCUGAUGCAGAUCUGCACUGCAUGCGCUACUCUUUUUGUGGGAUUCUCAUGAGGGUUCUAACAGUUGUUAUAUAGGCAACAGAAAACCUUAAUUAAGCCAAUGUUUUUAUUAGAUUCUAAUGUUAUGUACUUGCUUUGUAAAAUACAAUCAUUACAAGGAUAGUAAUUAAGUGAAAUCACUUCAAUUGUCAUGUAAUUUUGAAGAACUGUUAAUCUUUUUUUCCCCAUAAAGGCUUUGUAUACCACAGGACAGGGAGGAAUUGGCCUUGACUUCAUAUUUUUUUUAUGGGUUAGAAAAAAAAUCUAUAAUUUAGCCUUGUCUUCAUCAGUGUGUUGUCUUAUCUAAGUUGACAUUCUAAUUCCAGCAUAAAUAACCACAGCUGUCACCUGAGCUGGUAACUGUUUAUUUCCUAUUUUAGCACCCAUGGGAAACAAUGGGAUCCCAUCUUUACUACAAUAGUCAAUGGUGUAGCAUGGAGCAACAGUACUCAAAUCAGUUUCCAGGGUUAAUUGUAACUGGUAAUUAUGAAACCUGAGGGAGGCCGUGAGGAGGGACUGGAAUUGUUAAUUUAACCUAGGGGAUUCUCUUCUAGAGAGCAGUUUGACAUCACGUGGCGUGUCAUACUGCCUACCAGGCAGCUAUCAAAUAAUGCAACCUCUCAUAGACUUAAAAUAAAUUCAAAUAAAACCCCAUAUUUACAUAAUAAUCAAUUGGCCAUGUCUUUAGAAGAAGAAUUGUGCUCUAAAAUGGUUUCAGAAACAGUUUUCCUGUAUCUGCAACAGGUCUGAUAACGUUUAAACACAAAUGCAUCUUAGGAAGUCUUUGUCAGUACUAAGAGAACCAGAACUGAGGCUUUCCAGGGCCAUUUAGAUGGAAUAUUCUUCAUUUUGUCAAAAUAUGUUCUUCUAUUUUUUUUGUAUGAUGGGCAUGUUUUCUCUCCUCUACAAGCCUACUUUUAAACACAACCUGUAUCCUUUUUGUCCCCUUUCCAUAUUGACGUUAAAAGAAAUCUGAGUCUAGGCAAAUAAAGUUACCUCUGAGCAUUAGAAAUAGCUGAACUGGCCUUCUGCUUUUGUUCAUUUCAGUGUAAAGAGUGGUCUGCUCUGUCAGUACUGCUGUGUCCUAAACUAUACGGAGUGCAGGUUUGAUAGAGAUCACCAGUGACCAGAUAUGUAUUAUGAUGGCAAUCACAGUCAUUAUUUCAUUGUCUCCACUGACCUGUGGAGAUUCACCAGCAGCAUAAGCUGUUGCUCUGUGACCACUUGUCUAUUUUCCUGUAUUUUCUUGACUGUGCAUUCAAUUACUUGCUGGACAGAUCUAUAGCACAGCAUGAAAAAUUUAGCUACUUUAUCCAUUGGAGUAACUAUGUCUGGUGGAUGGGGGUAUUGAGAAGUAGAACUGAAAAGGAAAACUUCAGUAGUCUGGAACAUGGGCAGUUUUUUCCCCUAAUAUCAAUUUCAGAUCUGUGCAUUUGAUGUGUCAACCCCAAUCCCCACUUCCUUUCUGGAAGUUCAGUCUGUCAGCCUUCCAAGUGGACCUGGAGACUUGACAGAAAAUACUCCCAAACCCUGAGUUUUUGUGAUUGGUUGCACACCCCAAGAGAUUGUCUAUGCAUUGACCCUAGCUUGCAUGCUUACUGUUACACAAAUGCAGCCUUGAUUCAUUGUUUUCAUCCAGGUUUACAUUUGAUACUAACUAAAGUGAGGAAUGAAAAAGUGUAUGCAAGUUAACUGAAGUAGUCUAAACUUCUGCUUAUGAAAACAGAAACAGUUACAGUGGGGAGAACUAAAAUGAGUUUAGAGUACACUGACUUUUUUUAUUUAAGAAAUGCUGCAUCAACAAAUACAGUGAUACAAACAAGGAAACCUCAAUUCUUUCAGUGCACUGAUGAAACUAACAUUAGUUGGGAAUGAAAUCCAGCUCUUCUCUCAUGCACAGUUUUGUAGCUGCUUGAGGUUUUUUCUUUCUCUCUUUAUUUGAAUAUGUAUCAUCUUUUGUCUUUAUCCACUGUUAGUCUUCUCUCUCUCUCUCUCUCUUUGUUUUUUUUUUUUUUUGUUGAUAAAAUGAAAUCCCUGGUCCCUCUGCUCCAGGGACUCCUGAAGUUGUGCCUUAAUCAUUUAGUGACUGGCAUAAACCUUCAUGCCUGGAUGCCUCUCAUUGUGGCCACAAAGCUCUAUAACGGAUUGAAAACAAAGAAACAACAAAGCAAUCCCACCUGAAUGUUUGAAGAUACAGGCACAGUCAUUCUUUCCUUCACUCAUUCAGCUUUCAUGCACUCUGGCACUGAAUCUUCAUCAAACUAAUCUCACCUUUUGCUUUAGAGUUUGAUGAAGUUAAAAAAAAAAACAUCAUUCUCUGGCAAGAUAUGAAAAAUACCAGUGUUUCUAUUCUUGUUAUAGUUAUUUCUUUUAGUAUUGCAUGUUUUGGAAGGGAAAUAAAUCGUGUGUAUAAAAUAUGUAACUGGAGUAUGUGGUAGGGAGAUGGUAAAUUUCUAGGUAGUUUAUAUUCUCAGCCUGUAUUAAUGACUAGGCAAAUAUACUGCGUACCUUCCUCUCAUCCACAAUUUCUGACCCAAGAUGAAUGCUUUCUGUUGAAGCUGUGCUUAUUUGUCACUUCUGGAGGUAAAUAU